rnacentral:misc_RNA from 1 species
GAUGAAGAACGCAGCGAAAUGCGAUAAGUAAUGUGAAUUGCAGAAUUCAGUGAAUCAUCGAAUCUUUGAACGCACAUUGCGCCCGCCAGUAUUCUGGCGGGCAUGCCUGUUCGAGCGUCAUUUCAACCAUCAAGCCCCCGGCUUGUGUUGGGGACCUGCGGCUGCCGCAGGCCCUGAAAACCAGUGGCGGGCUCGCUAGUCACUCCGAGCGUAGUAAUACAUCUCGCUCAGGGCGUGCUGCGGGUUCCGGCCGUUAAAAGCCUUAUUUUACCCAAGGUUGACCUCGGAUCAGGUAGGAAGACCCGCUGAACUUAAGCAUAUCAAAAGCGGAGGA